rnacentral:miRNA from 1 species
CCUCCCAUCUAUCCUCUAUUUC